rnacentral:lncRNA from 1 species
GAACAUUUUUCAUUUGUUUGUUUGUUUGCUUUAAUCUUAUGACUGUCACCACUGAGUGACUAGCAUACAAGCAGGCCCUGUGGAGUUGAAGGACAGUUCAGGCAGCCCCUGCUUGCUUACAUAAAGUGUUGGAAAACACACCGGAGUUGGACAUGUGAUAAUCACACGGAAGUAUAUGUAAUAAAAGUUUUCUGUUCCUACUGAGAUGGAAAAGUCUAUAAAGUCCCUAAUAACACUUGACCCUCUGGAUGCAAUUUUGGAAGCUGGGUUUCUAGCAUUUUGUAUGUCCAACCAAUUCUUCUUAUUUAUAUGAACAUUAUUCAUUUAAAAAAAAGUAUGAAAAGUUCAUUUUAAUAAUCGCAAAUUUUAAUUUGUUCCUUUUCUCUCUUGACUGGUAUUUCCAUUCCAUUUCUUCUGUAUAAUUUCAUCCUAAUAUAUUUUUAAAUUUGAAAGUUCUUUUGUUGAUAGUUAUCUUGAACAAAUAUACUUCUGUCAAUUGAAAUUCAUUAUUUUUAUUCUUGUGACUGUAAAGUUCUUAGUGUUAAAAUUUUCAUCGGGAUUCAGUUAACAUACAAUAGAUAUUAAAACCUGAUUGAUCAAAACAACAGAACUGUAUUAUAAAUUUUAGUGAGUACUUAUUAAACAUAAGAAAUAAAAUUUUAUUGAAUAGUCCUUUCUUACUGAAACUUAACAGGACUGUUUUUACAGUUGGUUUGUAUAUUUAUGGAUAAAUAUCACUUAUUGCUAGAAUAAGAGGAUUCAACAUCAAUUCUAUUUCUCAGUUUUGUUUUUAUAAAUAUAAGCAUUAAGAAACUUGGUUUACAUAAAUAAUUAGAAGGAAAUUAGAUGGAAAACAUUUUGCUUUCUCAAUGCCACUUAAUCAUUUGAGUGCCUUCUAAGUUAUAUUCAGAAAAUCACAUAGUGAUCCAUGUUAAAGUAAUUUUUAAUGAUCUUUGAAAAAAAUAUUUGGCCCUCUUUUAAUUUUCCUGAAGCAAAUCAUUAAACACCAUAAUGCUUGGGAAACACCAUAAUGCUUGGGAAAAGAUUUUUUUAAAAUCCUGUCAUUAAAGUCAUUUACUUUUGAAAUAUUUUAUUUUUAAUUGCCCCAUUUUUCCAGCCCUAGACUUUUUUAUACCCACAGUAAGUUCAGGCUGAGUGAGUGGCAUGUUCAUAAGAGAAGCACGACUGUGACAGGGGAAUGGGAAAUGGAGAACCAGCGUAAUGUCUCCAUUGCAGGUAAAUUUCAUACGGAAAUUAGGUAUCUGGAAAAAGAUUCCCUUAAAACUGAUUCUUUAUACCCUUAUAUCCUUAAAAGGCCUCAUGUACCUCAGGAGGCCUGUGUAUCUCAGUUUGAGGGCCAAUAUUCUCGUAGAGACAAAAAUGUAUAAAAAUAUAUACAAUGUGAUACUUCUUGAUACUAAAAAAAAAAUGCUAUAAAAGGAAGCAUAUGGUAAAAACCUGGAGGGAGAGUGCUAUGUGAGAUAAGGCAAUGAGAGAGGCCCCUGUGAGAGGGGCUGCCUAACCUGAGCCUGAAGGAUGAGCAUAGUUGUUUUGCAGAGCUGGUCAGGCAUGUUGUAAGUGGGAGGAACAGCAUGUGCAAAGGUCCUGUUGGAAAUAAGCUUGGCAUGUUUGAGUGGCAGAAAGAGGAUCUGUGGGGCUGGAGCAUGAUGACCAAGGGGAAGAGUGGAAGAAAGUGAGGUCCAGAAAUGGGCAAGGCCAUAUUUAUGAGGCCCUGAGGGAGCUGCACAUUAUUUUCAGCAUGAUUCAAAGCCAUCUGAGGUUUUAAGCAGGAGAAUGACAAGAGCUGAGUUUUGCUUUAGAAAUAUCUUUCUGGGUGCUGUGAGCGACAUUAAUCUAUUCAUGAGGGAUUUGCUCCCAUGAGACAAACACCUCCCACUAGGCCCCAUCUCCCAAUACAACUGAACUGGCAUUCAUGAUUGGGAAGCCACUGCCUUUCUCCUGGCCUGCUCAGGAGGCUAGGUCCAACCCUUGGGAUUCACUGGGAUUGGCUGCCUUCCACCCACAGCUAUAAUUCAUUUCCAAGGAGCUUUGCAUCCAGCUCCUUUUCUAGAAGGCUGAUGAGUGAGAAUCAGUCUUGGACACAUUAGGGCUUACCUUUCUGAGCCACCCCAAAUGAGCUUCCCACACCUUCUUCCCAAAUUGUCCUCACCUUCUCAGAUCUGCAGGCCUUCCAGUGCAGAGGGAAGAUCUGCCUAAGUAAGUUUACUGGUUAGAGGAGCAGAAAAUGUAUGUGUCCUGAAGCAAGAUGCUGUGAAAGAGAAAACCCAGAAAAGGCUAAACCUCAGUCCUUCUUCCAAAUCAUCAGCUUAGUCAUUCACCUACCCUUGGAGAGGGGAGCAAAGGAUAGAGAAGCUGUCAGAAAUAUUCUAGUUUUUCCUCCUGGGGAGGGAAGCACAAGUUUCUUGUCCUCUAUGGAAAUGUGCAGCAGCUUUGGAUCAAAAAUAAACUGGACAUGGAUGGAUGGUGGUGAUGGCUUCACAACAGUGUGAAUGUAGUAAACACCACCGAACUGUACACUAAAAACUGGUUAAAAUAGUACAUUUUAUGAUAUUUACUACAAUUACCCAAUCACUGUAAAAAAGGAACUGGAUCUAAUCAUGCUUUUGAUUUUAUUUUUGCUUUGUUUUGAAUAGUUAAUAUAUUCAUAUGAUUUUAAAUGUAAAAAACACAAAUGGCCCCUUCAUAAUCUUUUCCUAGCUAAUGCAGUUUCUUCUUCAGAGGCAAACAAUAAAAACAGCAUUUUCAUAUUCUUCCAGAGAUAUUUUACGCAUUCUCUAGCAAAUACAUGUUUUAAAAAUUUUUGACACAAAUGGUAUUGUAUGUUACACACUGUUCUGCAAUUUGCAUUUUAACUUAAUGAAAUUUCUUGGGGAAUGCUCCAUAUCAGUGUAUCAGAGUUCCAGCAUUCAUAGAGCUAUACGUUUUCCUAGAGCACAGAUUUCCGUAGUUGGCUUAACCAGUCCCCCUUAUGUGCAAAUAUAGAUGUUUUUACUCUUUUGUUGUUCCAAACAGUGAAUAUCCUCUUAUGUGUGUCAUUUCUCAUAUUUAUCUACUCAUAAGAUAAAUUCAUAGACAUGGAAUUGUCCAAUCUUGGUUUUAAUAGUUUUCAUUAUAGGCCAACUUGACUUUAAUGCUGUUGAGUAGACAUUUGGAAUGCAGUACUAACUGACCAAGACCUCUAAUCUAACAAGCUAUCCAGAAAACUGAUGAUGUCUUUCUUACUCACAGAUCAUUGUUCCAGUUUCAUAUGUGCACUAAGGUGGGAAAACUGUCAAACAGACCCCAAGAAAAUAAUGUCCAUUUUCAAAAAGCAACUCUUUCUGGCAGAGGUCUGAUUAGCCCAUAACACAUAACUAUCUGAUUAUAAAUGAGCUUUCUUAAAAUAAUUUUUAAUAUUUUUUCCCACUGUAAUUUUUCCAUGUUUCUAUGUAUGCUAUACAUUUUUGUUUUGUAACAAUUAAAGGGCCCUGACAGGUUAGCCAGAGAAAGUAAUAUUUAUUAUCUGUAUAUUAAGAUGAGAAAACAAGGAACAUAGGCCAAGGGAAGUUUCCACUUGUCCAAAGUCACCCAGCAAGUUAGUGGGAGAGCCUGAACUAAAAUGCAGGUCACAACCUAAUCCCAUGCUCUGUUCACUGAUCCAUAUUUGUCCUUUUUGCCAGUUCUCAAAAGUAAGUGAGCUGUUCCUAAACCUAUUGGGUCUAGAAGUGGUCUCAGUUUAUGGGCAGCUGACGAUGUCUCACUAUGAAGAACUUGUCCUG